GAUGGGGUAGGAAUAAAAACUCAUUAGAGAUAAAAAGCUUAACAAAAUGCUUUAUGAAUCAUGCAUGUCAAUACCAAUACUUUUUCCCAUAUCUAUACAUCAUGUCAUACUUAAUCAUAUUUUUCCACCGUCAUUUGCAUCACAUAUCAAUAUUUAUCUCAAGUAUUUAAUCAUGUAAAUUAUACAUGCAAAUAAUAAGUUCAUAUAC
rnacentral:lncRNA from 1 species